rnacentral:rRNA from 1 species
UACGUAGGGGGCUAGCGUUGUCCGGAUUUAUUGGGCGUAAAGAGCGUGUAGGCGGCCAAGCAGGUCCGCUGUGAAAACUCGAGGCUCAACCUCGAGACGUCGGUGGAAACCGUUUGGCUAGAGUCCGGAAGAGGAGAGUGGAAUUCCCGGUGUAGCGGUGAAAUGCGUAGAGAUGGGGGAGAACACUCGUGGCGAAGGCGGCCAGCUAGACCAGUUCUGACACUGAGGCGCGACAGCGUGGGGAGCAAACAGG